CGAGCGAACAGACGAGGAGCUUGCUCCUCUGACGUUAGCGGCGGACGGGUGAGUAACACGUGGAUAACCUACCUAUAAGACUGGGAUAACUUCGGGAAACCGGAGCUAAUACCGGAUAAUAUAUUGAACCGCAUGGUUCAAUAGUGAAAGACGGUUUUGCUGUCACUUAUAGAUGGAUCCGCGCCGCAUUAGCUAGUUGGUAAGGUAACGGCUUACCAAGGCAACGAUGCGUAGCCGACCUGAGAGGGUGAUCGGCCACACUGGAACUGAGACACGGUCCAGACUCCUACGGGAGGCAGCAGUAGGGAAUCUUCCGCAAUGGGCGAAAGCCUGACGGAGCAACGCCGCGUGAGUGAUGAAGGUCUUCGGAUCGUAAAACUCUGUUAUUAGGGAAGAACAAAUGUGUAAGUAACUAUGCACGUCUUGACGGUACCUAAUCAGAAAGCCACGGCUAACUACGUGCCAGCAGCCGCGGUAAUACGUAGGUGGCAAGCGUUAUCCGGAAUUAUUGGGCGUAAAGCGCGCGUAGGCGGUUUUUUAGUCUGAUGUGAAAGCCCACGGCUCAACC
rnacentral:rRNA from 1 species